rnacentral:lncRNA from 1 species
UGACAAAUAUUGACUCAACUGAACACCAGUCACAAUAAUGAUAAACAUGCAUUGAUUGAGCUCUUUCCACGCUGAACUUUGGGUCAUACUCUUUGCCUGUUUUAUCUUACUUAAUAGUCUCAAUAAUUUUUAUGCUAUAACUAUACCUAUUAUUCUCAUUUUACAGUUGAGAAAACUGAAGCACGCAAAGGGUAAGUCACCUGCCCAUGUUCGUAAUGAAAAGGGACAAUAGCAUACAUGUCGGGAUCCACAAGUGUGGCAUUUUCCAAGAUGGUUGCACAAAGCAACAAGUGUUACAUGAUACUUUCUGACAUCAAAUGUGUUUAGGGAACUCAGGGCUCAGUUCAACAGAUUUUACACGGGACUUCCAAGUGACUUUAACAUCCUAAGGGUCACUAGCUUUCCAAGAAGAAUGAAUAAAAGGUUCAUUAUAUCCCAUAAGUAUUUGAUAACACAUUCCAUUUUUCUUAGAGCAUCCUGAAAAACAGUAUUCCUCGGAGCAAAUUUGGAGGGAAGUUUAUACUUAUAAAAAGGACGGUAACUAUUUUCAUACAAUCAUUAGUUGUGACUUUGUUAUGAAGCUGAGAGCCUAAUGCCAACAAAUACAAUUUACAAAAAUAACUCUAAUGUUUUUCCAAAUGUGGUACACGUGGUGUUAGGGGUUGAACUGUGUCCCACAAAUAAGAUACAUUGCAAUUCUAACUGGCAGGACUUCAGAAUGUUAAUUUAUUUGGCAAUAGGGUUGUUACCAACAUAGUUAAAUAAGAUGAAGUCUUAAUGGAGGAGGGUACGCUGCUAUUCUGAUAUGACUGGAUCCUUAUAAAAAGGGGAGAGAGAAGACAGGAAGAAUGUCGUAUGAAGACACACAGACACACGGAGAAAAUUCCAUGUGAUAACCGAGGCAGAGAUUAGAGUGCUGACAGCCAGCACCGGAAACUAGGAAAAGGCAAGGAAAGAUUGGACUCAAACCUUCAGUGGGGGAGCAUGGCCCUGCAGGUACCUUGAUGUUGGACUUCUCCAGAAAUGUGAUGGACUAAUAAAUCUCUGUUGUUAUAAGCCACCCAAUCUGUGGUACUUCGUUACCACGGCCUAGGAAACCAACUUUCAUGAGUUACAAUCAGACAUAAUUUUGAGACAUUGAACAGGAGAUAAAAUCUAGAAUAUGUAGAGCAAAGCAUCCAGAAUACUUAGAGCAAAGCAUCGCGUCAUGGUAAUUAGAACAAAUAAUUUGGAAAGAGACUUGAGAGCAGGUGUCCACGUAGUCGGUUGAAGAGAGAUCUACUUGUUUAUAUUCUUUUUUUUAAAAAAAGCUAAUCUACGGUAACAAAUUUAACAUCUGUCUGACACUUGAUUUUCUUACCUGGAAAAUGGGGCUACCAGCUUACACCUUACAAGAUGAGGAGAGUGACAAACUGGGAAAAAUAGUAAAUGGAAAGUAAGCAAGACAUAGUCCUACAUUGGCCUCUUCACACUACCAAUAUUAUCUCUCCAGCCACCAGCCUUCAGUUCCCUCCUAAAACUCCAAAAGUUAUUUUAGUGAAGGAAGAAUAGGUAUUAUAAAUAGGUUCUCAAGUUAUAAUAUAAUUUCUUAGACACAGGAGCCAUAAAAUAUUAUGCAUUAGCUUAAUGGCUAAUACAUUUUAAAAGCAAUACAUCUACCAGAAGACAGCAUGGAGCCAUAUAUCUUCAAAAAUUAGCCUUCUAGGAAAGGGAUUCCUAGAAAAUCUGCCUCUUAUGAUUAACUUGAACUCAACCUAACAUUACAAAUUUUAAAAUUAUUUAAUUGAAGAGAAUAGUCUUCAAGUAUAUGAUGCAAUGAAAAAGGAAGCACUUACUACCUUAACACUCAAAGUACAAUUUAAAAUAAUGUUACCAUUUUUCUAGACAUAUUUUCAAUUAGCUAAAUUAUCUAAUAUGAUGUAAAGCUGUUUGCCUAAGACUUCAGGUAGAUAAUUUUUACUUAUUCCAAGGGCUUGUCCGAAGCACAGGAAAAAAAAGAAAAAACUUUCUUUUCUUUCUUCUGAGUCCUUUCUCCUAGUUUUCUUACCCUGUCAUGAUCAUGCUUGCCUGCUAUUGCAAUUUAUUCAUGAGUUCAGGACCUCUAGAACGAAUAGAUAAUGCAAUAAAAUAUUGCCUGUAUGCCAUCUAGAAGUCACUCCUGGAUAAAAGAAACUUACUCCACCCUUAUAUUUUGCUGUUCAAUACAGUUUCCUAUAACAACAGUAUCUAUUAUAUCUCAUCAAUGCAAACAUACUGCAUCAAUAUACGGAAGACCAUCAAAAAGGAAGAUUUAUUGUACAAUUUAUUUAAAUGGACAGUGAAAAGCAUGAGUACAUCUAACUGAGGAGUCAGAUUAAAGUACUUGCUAAAAUUUAAGAAACCCACACAUGUGCUACAGUAACAAGUAACUGAAUUAGCAUCCUUAGAAGAUGAGCUAUUCCAUGCAAGUAGGUUCCCAGGUAACUGAAACUUGCAACUCUAACAGAUAAACUUUGGAAAAGAAAUUCUCAUUCCUGUUGAUGGAAAUCUUUGAAAUAUAUGACCUCGUCUUGUGAUUUCUAGUUGUUACCUAAAAGAAGUACUUGAACUUCAAUAUAACAUUAACCUAUAAGGUUAUGACCACAUAAGGAAUAAGAUGAGCUCUUACAGAAAUCUGCCUACAGGACUAGAUUUCUCCCAAAUCAAUCCUUAAAGAGCAAUCUGGAAAUCUAAUUACAGCAUUGUUAAAUAGGAAAAAUGUCUUUAUGCAAUCAACAGUAGGACCACACCCCCAGAAAGACUAUCUAGGUUGUUGUGGGCGACAGCAUAACGCUUCCAGCAAAAUGUCCCCCCCAACCCAGGAGCCUGUGACUAUGUCACCUUACACGCAGAAGACAUUGUGCAACUGUGAUUAAGUUAAGAUUCGUGAUGGGGGAGGGAGGUAAUCAAGUGUUAUCAAGGCAGGCCCAAUGCACUAACAAGGAUCAAGGUAAGCAAAAGGAAGUGGCGGGAGAAUCAGAUGGAGAGGGAAGGACAGAGAAAGAGACAGAGACUGAUUUGCAAUGUUACUCUGCUGGCUCGGAAGAUGGAAGGGGGCCAGGAGCCAGGGAAUACAGGCAGCUUCCAGAAGCUGGGAAAAGGCAGGAAACAGAUUGUCUCCUAGAGCCUCCGUAAGAAAGCCCGGCCCUGCCAACACCUGGACUGGAGCCCAGUGAGAUCCACUCAGACUUCUAACCCCCACAACGCUGAGAUGUACCUUGGAUUAAGCCACUAAGUUUGGGGUGAUUUGUUACAGCUGUAUGAAGAAACCAGGAUGGUGGUCUUCAUAGAAUACUGAAAAAAAAAAAAUAAAUAAAUAAAAGGACAGUGAAAAAGAGCAAAAGGUCAGGAAGACUAUUUUCUGCAGCAUGACCAAAGGAAAGAGACCCUGAUCUCACUGGCUGGGAGAAAGGCGUACUCUUCUGGGUCAGGAGGUCUCAUUGGGCUUUUAAGAGUCUUGAAUAAAAAAAUUCCACAAGACAAUGUCAGUAGCUUUGAUUUGCUUCUGUGCUCACUGUGCAAACAGCUCGUGACCAUAUCGUUUCUAGGAUAUAACACAGGAAAAAAAAAAAAAAAAGUGCUCUGGCUGUUGAACUGUAAUGUACAGAUAGCAUGGUCUCCACCACCAGUGAGCCCAAAGUAAGUGGUAUGCAUCCAACCUUGUGAGUCCCUCUUAAAAGAUGCAUCGUGAACAACUGAGUAUCUGGCCUGUCAUGGUUGGGGACCAGAUUGAUGGCAACUCUUUCUGAGGUCUAGGUGCCCUGUCAUGAACCCUCUCUCACAUCUUUAUCUCACUCCCUUUGAUUUUGACACUUCCUUGAAUGGAUACCUUGAGAAUUGUUUAAAAUAUCUUAAGACUGAUUCAGGGGCAUUAUCACGGUAACAUAAAGCUCGUAAAUAGAUUUUAAGGGCUUGUUAGGUACCAGGCAAUAUACUAUGAACUUCUACAUCACCAAUUUCUUGUAGUCUUCGAAGUAAUUUCUGAGGCAUCUUACAGGUGAGGAAAUGAGAUGUACACCACCAGGUAAGUAACUUAUCCAAGAUCACACAAUUCACAUAGAGCCAGAAAUUGAAUCCCCAUGUGUCUGACUGCAAAGCCCCAAGCCUUGAACAAUGACCACUGCGAUCCAGUGACGUUGCUGGGGGUUACUUCUGGUUUUUCACUCACGCAGCAAACUGCCCCUGAGAGCUGGAUUUCUGAAAUUCGUUUAUGGUGUCUUUACCAGUUUUUCCUAUCUUGUUAUCAGAAUUCAACUUAUAUCUGCCACAGAAAUUAGGAAACAAAGCUUAUUUUAAAAAGUAUGUCCAAAUUAUAGCUCAUGGACUAUUACUCUGUAGCAGAGCACUUUAUGUGUCACCUUUUGUUGUGAAAACAGCAGCCUUGCAAAUCACUUUAAGAUAAAAUAAUGCCAUCUAUCCUAGUAAAUUAGUGACUCAAAAGAAUUUGUCACACUCAUUUGUAAUCAUCAGUUGUGUGUUUUUCUGGUUAGAUUCUAAACUAUCUGACAGAAAGAACCAUGUAUUACCUGAGUUUGUAUCCCUGUCACGGAAUAUCCUUGAGAAAAAUCUCUUCCAAGAGGCCUGAAAAACACACCUACAGCACCCGCUGGAAAAAAAGUCUUUCCUAUCGGAAGCUGGUGACAUUAGCAGACUCUGUAUACUGUAUCUGUUGCCCUAAACAAACUGCCUUCAGGUCUGAGCGCCUUUUCCCAAAACUAGAGAGUGCAUAUUGCAAUAAGAAAGAAGAACACCAAAAAAUUAAAAAAAAAAAAAAAAA